AUCUGGGCGGCGGAAUUCAGAAUGACUGGCGUGCUCUCGCGCGUCGGUCGUUUGAUAUUUCCGUCGCCAACUAUCGCAGACGUCGCGACCUGUUCGCGGUCGGUCCCUGCUCGGAGGAGCCGUGUUCGAGUUCGUUGUGUGCGCGCUUCUGGCGCGUCACACGGCGAAGACGCGGAUCUCUGGCUGGCCGUCGGACAGUAUGCUUAACGGUGUCCGGUGUCGUCGUUUCGUACGCGCGGCAUCGGUACCGGUCAGCGACGAAUUCUUCGGGCCUCUUUCCGACCCGUCUUGAAACACGGACCAAGGAGUCUAACAUGCGCGCGAGUCGCGGGGUAUCGAGCGUACUUCGGUGCGUUCGUUAUGUUGCGAAACCCGUACAUGUCGAAGGCGUAAUGAAAGUGAAUGGGGAAGAUGGUGCUCCGAGUUCACGUUCCGCGAUCGUCGGUAUCGCGGCCGGACAUCCGCAUUCCCGGGGCGUCUCAACGGCCCGUCGCUGAUGCGGACAGUCGUCUUUCGGGGCGGCUGUCGGUCGGCGACGAACCGA
rnacentral:rRNA from 1 species